GACGAACGCUGGCGGCGUGCUUAACACAUGCAAGUCGAACGGAAAGGCCCUGCUUUUGUGGGGUGCUCGAGUGGCGAACGGGUGAGUAACACGUGAGUAACCUGCCCUUGACUUUGGGAUAACUUCAGGAAACUGGGGCUAAUACCGGAUAGGAGCUCCUGCUGCAUGGUGGGGGUUGGAAAGUUUCGGCGGUUGGGGAUGGACUCGCGGCUUAUCAGCUUGUUGGUGGGGUAGUGGCUUACCAAGGCUUUGACGGGUAGCCGGCAUGAGAGGGUGACCGGCCACAUUGGGACUGAGAUACGGCGCAGACUCCUACGGGAGGCAGCAGGGGGGAAUAUUGCACAAUGGGCGGAAGCCUGAUGCAGCAACGCCGCGUGCGGGAUGACGGCCUUCGGGUUGUAAACCGCUUUCGCCUGUGACGAAGCGUGAGUGACGGUAAUGGGUAAAGAAGCACCGGCUAACUACGUG
rnacentral:rRNA from 1 species